AUUCUUAUAGUUGAAUGAACAACGAUAGUUUUUCAAGUUGUUGGUCUUGGUUGGAACCCAAGUGAGAAUA
rnacentral:tRNA from 1 species